rnacentral:rRNA from 1 species
CAGACUCNUACGGGAGGCAGCAGUAGGGAAUUGUUCGCAAUGGGCGCAAGCCUGANGACGCAACGCCGCGUGGAGGAUGAAGACCUUCGGGUCGUAAACUCCUUUCGAUCGAGACGAACGGCCUCCGGGUGAACAAUCCGGAGGAGUGACGGUACCGAGAGAAGAAGCCCCGGCUAACUCCGUGCCAGCAGCCGCGGUAAUACGGGGGGGGCAAGCGUUGUUCGGAAUUACUGGGCGUAAAGGGCUCGUAGGCGGCCAACUAAGUCGGACGUGAAAUCCCUCGGCUUAACCGGGGAACUGCGUCCGAUACUGGAUGGCUUGAGUUUGGGAGAGGGAUGCGGAAUUCCAGGUGUAGCGGUGAAAUGCGUAGAUAUCUGGAGGAACACCGGUGGCGAAGGCGGCAUCCUGGACCAACACUGA